CCAACGGUGAAUGGAGUCCAGAUUCUCUGAGGCUCCUGCAGUUCUUAUGUCUCACCUUCACCUACUUUCCUAAUGGCCACUCAUAGUUGUGCUACCUUCCAGAAGCAUGGCUUUAAAAUCCUUCAGGAAUUUCCAGACGGUCCAUUUCCAUCCUCUCCUGCCCACCCGCGUGCCUCAGCUGAAGUGAGUCUGCUUACCCCGGGCACUGAUAUGGACAAAGAGACCUAUUGAUGACGGAAUGACGGUGCAUACAGCUUUGGUUCCUGCUGGCGACCACAUUGCAACCUUAAAGGCUGAGAGUCUUAGGAUGACGUUGACACCAUGGAGGAGGGUGGAGAGACAAAAAGAAACAAGGCAGAACAGAUGGAUCAGACCCUGCAGAAAGCCCACCCACCUCGAAAUUUUUUACUGUCACAGACCAAUAGACAACUUUUAUUGUUUAAGCCAGUUUGAGCUAUGUUUUCUGCUAUUGCAAUAAAGACCAUCCAUC
rnacentral:lncRNA from 1 species